rnacentral:rRNA from 1 species
UACGUAGGGUGCAAGCGUUGUCCGGAAUUAUUGGGCGUAAAGAGCUCGUAGGCGGUCUGUCGCGUCGGAUGUGAAAAUCCAGGGCUCAACCCUGGACCUGCAUUCGAUACGGGCAGACUAGAGUUCGGUAGGGGAGACUGGAAUUCCCGGUGUAGCAGUGAAAUGCGUAGAGAUCGGGAGGAACAUCAGUUGCGAAGGCGGCUCUCAGGACCAGUACUGACGCUGAGGCACGAAAGCGUGGGGAGCAAACAGG